AGAGCGAACGCUGGCGGCAGGCUUAACACAUGCAAGUCGAGCGGAUGUAGCAAUACAUCAGCGGCAGACGGGUGAGUAACACGUGGGAACGUACCUUUUGGUUCGGAACAACACAGGGAAACUUGUGCUAAUACCGGAUAAGCCCUUACGGGGAAAGAUUUAUCGCCGAAAGAUCGGCCCGCGUCUGAUUAGCUAGUUGGUGAGGUAAUGGCUCACCAAGGCGACGAUCAGUAGCUGGUCUGAGAGGAUGAUCAGCCACAUUGGGACUGAGACACGGCCCAAACUCCUACGGGAGGCAGCAGUGGGGAAUAUUGGACAAUGGGCGCAAGCCUGAUCCAGCCAUGCCGCGUGAGUGAUGAAGGCCCUAGGGUUGUAAAGCUCUUUGUGCGGGAAGAUAAUGACGGUACCGCAAGAAUAACGCCCGGCUAACUUCGCGCCAGCAGCCGC
rnacentral:rRNA from 1 species